rnacentral:tRNA from 1 species
GCCCCCGUAGCUCAGUGGAUAGAGCGGUGGUUUCCUAAACCGCGUGCGUAGGUUCGAUUCCUACCGGGGGCG